GGUACCUGAAGAAAAAGCAUCGGCUAACUCCGUGCCAGCAGCCGCGGUAAUACGGAGGAUGCAAGCGUUAUCCGGAAUCAUUGGGCGUAAAGGGUCCGCAGGUGGCGAAUAAAGUCUGCUGUUAAAGACCGGGGCUAAACUCCGGAAAGGCAGUGGAAACUGAUUAGCUAGAGUACGGUAGGGGUAGAGGGAAUUCCCAGUGUAGCGGUGAAAUGCGUAGAUAUUGGGAAGAACACCGGUGGCGAAAGCGCUCUACUAGGCCGAAACUGACACUGAGGGACGAAAGCUAGGGUAGCGAAAGGGAUUAGAUACCCCUGUAGUCUUAGCGGUAAACGAUGGAUACUAGGUGUAGCUUGUAUCGACCCGAGCUGUGCCGAAGCUAACGCGAUAAGUAUCCCGCCUGGGGAGUACGCACGCAGGUGUGAAACUCAAAGGAAUUGACGGGGGCCCGCACAAGCGGUGGAGUAUGUGGUUUAAUUCGAUGCAACGCGAAGAACCUUACCAGGGCUUGACAUGUCGCGAAUCUAGCGGAAACGUUAGAGUGCCUUAGGGAAUGCGAACACAGGUGGUGCAUGGCUGUCGUCAGCUCGUGUCGUGAGAUGUUGGGUUAAGUCCCGCAACGAGCGCAACCCUCGUCCUUAGUUGCCAAUAUUAAGUUAGGCACUCUAGGGAGACUGCCGGGGACAACUCGGAGGAAGGUGGGGAUGACGUCAAGUCAGCAUGCCCCUUACGUCCUGGGCGACACACAUACUACAAUGGUUGGGACAAAGGGCAGCAAACUCGCGAGAGUAAGCGAAUCUCAUCAAACCCAGCCACAGUUCAGAUUGCAGGCUGCAACUCGCCUGCAUGAAGUAGGAAUCGCUAGUAAUCGCAGGUCAGCAUACUGCGGUGAAUUCGUUCCCGGGCCUUGUACACACCGCCCGUCACACCAUGGAAGCUGGCUACGCCCGAAGUCGUUACCCUAACCCGGUUUUGGGAGGGGGAUGCCGAAGGUAGAGCUAGUGACUGGGGUGAAGUCGUAACAAGGUAGCCGUACCGGAAGGUGUGGCUGGAUCACCUCCUUUACAGGGAGACCUAGUCUAAUUACCAAUAGAUAAAAAAGUUGGUAAUUCGCAAGAAUCCUUAGGUCGUGAGGGGAGCAAGAAAAAACUUUCAAACUGUAAUGGGUGAGGGUCAAUGGGCUAUUAGCUCAGGUGGUUAGAGCGCACCCCUGAUAAGGGUGAGGUCCCUGGUUCAAGUCCAGGAUGGCCCACCUAAAAUACACAGGCAUCCUGCCUGUGCCACAAAAAAGGAAAAAGUUUUGGCAUUGUCUCUUGUAAUCAAGAGCAAGAGAUAAUGCUGGAAUAGAUUCCAGCAAGAA
rnacentral:misc_RNA from 1 species